CAGUCGCCACGGGAAAACGAAGGGUGCAAGCGUUAAUCGGAAUUACUGGGCGUAAAGCGUGCGCAGGCGGUUUGUUAAGACAGAUGUGAAAUCCCCGGGCUUAACCUGGGAACUGCAUUUGUGACUGGCAAGCUAGAGUAUGGCAGAGGGGGGUGGAAUUCCGCGUGUAGCAGUGAAAUGCGUAGAUAUGCGGAGGAACACCGAUGGCGAAGGCAGCCCCCUGGGCCAAUACUGACGCUCAUGCACGAAAGCGUGGGGAGCAAACAGGAUUAGAUACCCGCGUAGUCCCUGUCUCUUAUAA
rnacentral:rRNA from 1 species